AGUGAGUGUGAGUGAGUCAGCGAGAGUAUGAAAGUAUGCAUAGCCUGUAUGAUGUUGAUGCAUGUGGAUGGGUGUUAGGUUCGUGGAAAUAUGUCUACAGGGGAUAAACUGCUGUGUUCAGGUAAUCCAUUGGCAGAUAAAACUCAUAAUUCCAAGGAUGGGUAUUAUUCUGUCCUGUAAUGAACAGCUCAGUCCUGCACAGUCAGUCAAGAAGAGGAUGUACAGAAUGUAUGCCCUCAGCCUCAUGGGUAGGACUUGUAUUGUGUGCUAGUCAUACGUCUGUAUGCCUGUAUGCCUGAAUGCCCCCAAAGCAUAUCAGUUUCUUGUGUGUAUUCAGUGAAGUGAUCAAUUCAUGCAUGUUGGUUUAUUUGUGACAGGUCUAUACAAACUUUCUGUGGAUAGAAGAUACUCAGUUGUUGUUGACAUAGAGGUAUGUUUGUUAAUGCGAUCAGGCCGGUUAUCAUGAUGUUGAUGUACUGUACUCUAGUGUGUCGGCCAUAUAUGGUCUCCGAUGGGUGUGGGAACUGCAGUUUAUAUUCCAUUUGAGUGACUGUACAUGUAUCUUCACUCAUCUUAUUAAGUGCAAACCCCAUUCUUGUUUCAGAAAACUGCAUUUUAUCACAAUAAGGUUAGCCCAGUUUUAUACUUAGUAAGUUAUAAUUACUUAUUUUCAAAAAUAUUGUCCAGAAUUCUUGUUUUAGUAAAGAUCAAGGUAGCCUAAGGGUUUAAAGCACCAAAACAUCAGAGUUUCUUCCCUUACUUCUGUCAGAUUCUUCUGCUUAUUUGUCCAAAUGCAACAAUCACAAAUAUAAUGAUCUUUGAUUGUAAAUUCCCUAUAUGGUAUGUGCCAGUACCAAGUACGGUAUCUGACUUUUUUAUGUCAAUGAGCAGAGAUGUCAGUCAAAUACUAGUUAGUAAUGUUCAAAAUAACGCACAAUUCCUUCACAAACGUCUCACUGCUCACAUCUUUUUACCUCAUGCAAAAUAUUUCCUGGAACAAAUAUAGAAAACGUGUCAAACAAUCAAUGAAAUUGGUUUUGCCUUUUUAAGUCAAAUGACACGAGAUUGACUGAGACGAUAUUUUGUUUUACUUCACAGUCGGAAUCAUCUGUAGGAGUGGGGAUAACAUUUUCAGUGAAUAAAAACCCAGAAUGGUAGUGAAAGAGGAACAGAUUUUAGUAGUUUUUUCAUUAAUAUAAAAGAUUCAAAUCAAAUUCAAAUCACACCCUCUUCAUAUCAAUGCAAGGAAUUAUCAUUUUCUAUGAUAGUGACAGAGUUGAAAGAGUAAUAUUUAUUUACAAUAAUAUCUGUUUUGUAAUUUUUGCUCGACGUUGAACCAUGUAAACUUAUUUAUUCUUAUUUUUCAUAAUACAUUUUUCAUUUUGUCCAGACAAUGACCUAAGACAUAUUUUUAUUUUAUUUUCAUAUUUUUUCAGUUAACUUAUCAUACUUAAGCAGCCAAGUGUUUCACAUAAGACAAACUUGAACACUUGAUAAAAUCAACAAAAAUGUUCUUUAUAAGAAUUUUAUUACCUAUGUUCCACGUGAGUGCUCAUAAAGCCCUUUAAUGGUGGAGGCUGAUGUGAUGAUAUCACUUUAUACCCCAGUAAAGACUAUUAUAGCAUCCUUGGCCUACAUUUCAUGAAGUGAAUUUCUGUUAUAAGAUUCUUCUUAUCCUUUGGCAUUUAUUCACCUCAAAUGUAAAAAGUAAAAGUAGUUCUGUCAACUUUUAUGGAAUUUUGUAUGUGAAGACAGACAUGACAUUAAUGUGUAUACAUGUAAAGAGAAAAUAUUUGGAAUAAUUCCACGAUGUAUAGACUAAAGAAAACCAAGUUCUAUGGAGAGUCAACUUCUUUAUUGCAAAGAGUGCAAUGUUUUGGUGUAGGUACUAACACCGUUAU